rnacentral:rRNA from 1 species
UACGGGGGGGCAAGCGUUGUUCGGAAUUACUGGGCGUAAAGGGCGCGUAGGCGGCCUGCUAAGUCGGACGUGAAAUCCCUCGGCUCAACCGGGGAACUGCGUCCGAUACUGGCGAGGCUUGAAUCCGGGAGAGGGAUGUGGAAUUCCUGGUGUAGCGGUGAAAUGCGUAGAUAUCGGGAGGAACACCAGUGGCGAAGGCGACUACCUGGCCUGUUCUUGACGCUGAGGCGCGAAAGCUAGGGGAGCAAACGGG